rnacentral:rRNA from 1 species
CCAGACUCCUACGGGAGGCAGCAGUGAGGAAUAUUGGUCAAUGGACGAGAGUCUGAACCAGCCAAGUAGCGUGAAGGAUGACUGCCCUAUGGGUUGUAAACUUCUUUUAUAUGGGAAUAAAAUGUUCCACGUGUGGGAUUUUGUAUGUACCAUAUGAAUAAGGAUCGGCUAACUCCGUGCCAGCAGCCGCGGUAAUACGGGGGAUGCGAGCGUUAUCCGGAUUUAUUGGGUUUAAAGGGUGCGUAGGCGGCGCUUCAGGUCAGCGGUGAAAUACCGGGGCUCAACCCCGGGGCUGCCGUUGAAACUGGCGUUCUUGAGUGGGCGAGAAGUAUGCGGAAUGCGUGGUGUAGCGGUGAAAUGCAUAGAUAUCACGCAGAACUCCGAUUGCGAAGGCAGCAUACCGGCGCCCAACUGACGCUGAAGCACGAAAGCGUGGGUAUCGAACAGGAUUAGAUACCCGUGUAA